AGUAACGCGUGGGUAACCUGCCCUGUACACACGGAUAACAUACCGAAAGGUAUGCUAAUACGGGAUAAUAUAAGAAAUUCGCAUGUUUUUUCUUUAUCAAAAGCUCCGGCGGUACAGGAUGGACCCGCGUCUGAUUAGCUAGUUGGUGAGGUAAUGGCUCACCAAGGCGACGAUCAGUAGCCGACCUGAGAGGGUGAUCGGCCACAUUGGAACUGAGACACGGUCCAAACUCCUACGGGAGGCAGCAUG
rnacentral:rRNA from 1 species